rnacentral:lncRNA from 1 species
CGUAAGCUGGGUGCCCGUAUCCGGGAUAACCCGGAAUGUAACCAGGCAUGUGUCCAAAUUGGGGUGGAAGCAUGAACUCCAUUCGGUUCCCUUCCAUCUUGCCACCAUUAGCUUCGUUCCCACCAUCUUCACCACCACCCUUGUUCUUCUUCUUCCCUCCGUCGCCGCCCUCCUUGUUGCCAUCCUUCUCUUUCUUAGGAGCUACAAUCUCAACAUGCUUCUUCAGCUUGUCCUUCAAAGCCUCAGCCAAGGCCUUAACAUCCAUAGUCCCCUUAACUGUGACCAUCUCCUUCUGCCUGUCUACUUUCAACUCUUGGACACCUGCAACGCCGUUAAAAACAAUAUGUAUCAAAAGUCAGAAUCGAACGCAAGAAUUUCAACGCCGUAAGAGCAACGGAAAAUCAUAAAGGUCAUCACCUUUGGUUUCAGAGACAAUUUUGCGAAUCCUAUCAAAGCAUCCAUCACACUGGCAUUUCAAUUGCACCUUCAAAUCCGCAGUCGUUACCGGGGCCUGAACAAAGAUAACAAAUAGCAAGCUUAAAUUACAUAAUUUUUUUUUUAAACUUAAACCUCAAGAAAGUAAGUAACAAAAUUUUGAAAUGAUAUAGAAAAUAUGGGAUUUUGUACCUCUUUGGGUUUUUUGUCUGAUUUAUUAUCAGAAUCCUGGUUUUUCUGUUGGUCUGGUUUUUUCUCUUUUUUUUCCUCUUUGUUAUCAUCUUUCUUGGGUUGAGAAGAAAUGAGCUCAACUUUCUUCUUCGUUUUCUUGUCGAGUUUCUCUUUAAUGGCAGUGGGAUCCGCAGUUCCUAUCACCGUCACUUUGUUUGAACUCAUCUCUGGUUUCACCGUCUCCACCCCUGCGACCAAAAAAAAAAUACAGGAAAACAGAGUAAAUAACAAGAGCAGAAUGAAGAAAUGAAGAGGGAAAAGCCAGAAACAAGAAUGGGAAAUAAGCGUGGAAAGCGAUUAUACCUUCAAAGUGAUUAAUGCAUUUGAGGAUUUUGGAAGCACAACCAUCACAGAGACACUCAAAUUUGAAAACAGAGGUUGAAGAACUCUUUUCCUUCAUUUUCCCAUCCCCUCCUCCUUGCUUGUUUCCGUUCUUUUUCUGCAACAAACACGAAGAAUAACCAUAACACAAAAUCAUAUUAAUUAUGAACCAGAAAACGAAAUGAAAGAUGAUGAAAAGAGUAAAAAAAGAGAAAGAGAAACGGAGUUAGGGAGUGUAGUGCUAACUCACCUCUCCCAUUGCGAGUGGAAAUGCGUUAUGUGAAUCGGGUUUAAGUGAUGAUUUGAAAUAUGAGAGGAAAAAAGGAGAAGCAGUAUUUAUAGAGGGGAUGGAUGGUUCAAAAAGCGUGGAAUGAAGGGUGGCUGGCUAAGGGGUUAAGACUUGAGAGUUGGGGGGUACUUCAAGGAAAAAGUGGUGGGCUUCAAAAGUAAAAAAAGAAUUGGAGGUUCUUGGCUGUUUCUUUCUCUGUGUCCAUUUAUGCAACUUAGGAACAUUAAUCCACUCCCUCCCCCAUCACCUGUUCACUCUUGCUUUGCCUCUAGUCCCACCUGAAUCACAGUGGUCUCCCCAAUGAACUUACCUAAUUAUUACUCACACACACCCAUUUAGACUAUCACACAUGUAUAGCUUGCGUCAAUCCUACAACUUUAAGGAUAUAACCAAUAAAUCAAAUGCUAAAGUUCAAAUCUAGAGCAUUUCUUAAUUUGUCCAUGUCAAUCUAUGCAAAUCUUCUCUAUAAGUUUUAUUAAUUAUAUAAUCCAAAUCUCAUUAAUUAAUAAUAUUAUUAAUAUAAAUAUAACAAAGUUCUCUAUAUUUUUUUAAAAAUUUAAAAUUUAGUCCUUAUACUUUCUUUUUUGCGGUUAGAAUUUAUGAUAUGACUUUUAUAAAAUGAAAAGGUAAAAUAACUCUUUAAGCCUUUAACAGUUAAAGUAAUUUAUUAAUUUAGUCCUUACACUUUAAAAUUACAUAAAAGUUAGAAAAAAAUGUUUUAAAAAUUAAAGCUUUUCAUAUUUUCAAUAAAAAAUUGUGAAAAAAUUACAAAUGCAACCAAGGAUCUUCUUUUGAAUAAAUUAAAAGCUUUUUCAUAUUUUCAAUAAAAAAUAUAAAAAAAAUUGUGAAAAAUUAAAAUCUCUUUCAUAUCUUCAAUAAAAAAUUACAAAUCGGGACCGGAGUUUGGUGUUUCUUUUGAAUCGAAUGAGUAAAAUAAUAAUAAAGUUAUAAAAAGUAAGAAAAUACAUGUGAAAAUGAAUGCAAGCAAGGCAGGUGAGAUUCAAGGAUCUUAUACUGCAAAGGGGUAUUGAUGCGAGAGAGAAUGAUUUUGUUAAUAAAUAUCUGUUAUUUCUAUUAACAAUAAUUGACCAUGAUCCCAACUCAUUGCUUUUUUAUGAUUUUUUUUUAUUUUUUAUUGUUGAUAGGAGAAUGGUUAUAUUUUAUUUUUUUACAACUAAAUUUACGUAAAAAUAUUUUAUAUAUAAUUAAGCUGGUUUGAAAUUUUAAUUUUUUUUCAAAUUUGAUUUAAUAUCAACCGAACAAAUAUCUCAAAAUUUAGAGACACCUUAUUACUAUUCAUGAACUAGAUAACAUUUUUUUUUGAAUUUUCGAAAAAAUUAUAUUUUUCAUAGUUGUUUAGUUAUCUAAAAUGACUUUUAUAAUUUUUUUUUAAUUUUAAAGAGGUCUUAAUUUUCAAAAAAAAAAUAUUCAUUAUUGAAAAUAUGAAAAAAGACUUUUAAAUUUUAAAACAAUUUUUUGUAAAUUUUAUGUUCUUUAAAAGUGUAAAGACCAAAAUAAAAAAAAAUUAUAAAUGUUGAGGGCUAAAAGAGUUAUUUUACUUUUUUUUUAUAAUAACCACAUCAUCAAUACUAGCGGCAAAAUUGAUGGAGGGACCAAGAUUUUAAAUAAAAAAAUAUAGGGACUCAAUGUCUCAAAAUUAAAAUAUUAUGGCUAAAUUUUAAAUUUCAAAAGAGUACAAGGACUUUUAAAAUAUUUAAACCUUUUUUUAAAUUUGAAAAAUUAAAAAAAAAUCAAAUAUGAUCUAAAUUCUAAAUGUCGUUAUAGGUGUAUAAUAAUCACAUCUCUAUAAAAUUAUGGCAGACAAAUGAGACUGUUAUAGAGACAAAUGAGAAUGUAUAAUAAUCACAUCUCUAUAAUAAUCACAUCUUUCAAUAGUUUUUUUUUCUCUUGAGAUUAUUCAAUAUUUUAUGGUUACAUUGAAUUUUGAUUAAAUCUCAAAUCAGAUUCUAAACUAAGUGCACGUUGUUUUUUCGAUCAUAAGACUCGAACUUAAAAUCAUACUUAAAACACACUGAGCUCUUAACUACUAAGUCUAACUAAAACUAGUGAAAAAGCGCAAGUUGGUUUGCUCACAGUCUAACUUGAUGUCCCAACUGAUGUUUGGACACAAGUUUGAACAUGACAUUUUGACAACAAUUUAUAAAUGGAGAGUAAAGUAAUGAGAGAAGUCAACAAAUGAUAUUUGUUAACACAAUUCAGAUCAACAAUCUUACUCUGUAGAGCCUCAGUUAGUGAAUGAUUUUAUUCAAUAAUUGUUAGGAUCACCUAUUGGCUUAAGCACUGUAACGACCCGAUAGUUACGGGUAUCGGAAAAUGCAUUUCAGAGACUUUGUUACCAUAAAUCGGACUCGUAAAUAUUUUUAAUAAAUGUUUACAAAGCUAGUUGUGUGGUUAAUUAGGUUUUGGUUAGGUGAAUUUGUAUGAAUUAUGAGUAAUUAGGUAUAAGGAUUAAAUUGUAUAAAGGAUGAAAUUUGAAUUAUAGAUUAAAGAAAAACUAAAAGGACUAAAUAAGCAAUUAUGCUAAUAGUCAUAAUUGAGGCCUCAUAAGUGUAUAUAUUAUAAAAUUUUAAAGUUAAAAAAUAUAUAUUAUAAUUGUUGGCACCAUUUUUUUGAUAAAACGGGUCGACUUGGGUUUUAAAAAAUGAAAACGAAAGUGGGAGUCACCACCAAUCUUUUUAAUGAGGUGUGAUCGGACCACUUUGAAAAGUGAUUGUUUUUAAUAAACAAUUUAAUUUUAUUAAAACAACAAUUUUGGGCCACGAAAUUCAGAAAAAUGGGUUCGGGAGUCGGUUACGUACAAGGAAGGAUUAGCACCAUUGUAACGCCCAAAAAUUGGUACAUAGUUGAUUAAUUAGUAUCUUAAUGUCGAAAGUCGAAAACUUUACAGAAAUCUAAAAUACGAUCCUUUAGUGAAAUGCUAAAAUUGAGAAAAAGACAUAUUUUACAUUGAUCGAGAAGGAGAAUUACAUCCCGUAAGUUAGGAUGCAACGUCUCGAAUUCCCGAUACAAAAAUGAAUAUCGAAAAAGAAUUUACUUAUUUUGAAAGAUAUUUGAUUAUCUCAGGUUUUAAGAAAGAGAUCAUGUCCCGUGAGUUAGAACACGAUCUUUUGUUAAUUCCCGAGUGCAUUUAAAAAACUUUGUUUGAAAUGAUUCGCGUAUUUAGAUUUAUCGAGAAAAUCGAAACCCCGUAAAUUAGGGUACGAUUUUUUUAGAAUAAUCGAAAUACGAAAAAACAGGUUUUGAUAUAUUGAAUAAAGUAAAAUGUAAAAAAUGCGAAAAUAAAUUACAUUGGAUACGCAUGCGAAAUAAUAAUAAAUACGAUAGUGUAACGUGAUACGAACGAUAGUGACAAAAUGAGAUAUGAAAAGAUGAAUUAAUAACAUGCUGAACAAUGAGUAUUUAAGCAUAUAAGAGUGAAACAUUUAAUAUAAUAAUGAAAGCGUGAAUAAACAAAUAAAUAAGUAAAUAUAAUUAUAAAAAUACAAAAGGGGAUAUGUAUAUGUAUAUGUAUAUAAAGUAUAUGUAAUAAGGAAUAUGCAAGCAUGUAUAUAUGAAAAUUAAAAAUAUGUAUAAAAAGGUAUAUAUAAGAUAUUAAAUAUAUGUAUAUAAAGAUAUAUAAAUAAUAUAAGGUAUAAAAUGUAAUAUAUAUUAGAAAGGUAUAUAAAUACAUAAAUAUGUACAUAAGUUAUAAAAUAAAAAGGAUAAAUUUAUGUUUAUAUAUAUUGUAAAAUAUGUAUAUAUAUUAAGAAAAUAUAAGCAUGUGCAUACUUUAUAAUUAUAAAUAAAAAUACAUGUAUAUAUAUAUAGAUUAUAAAAUAUAUGUAUGUAUAUAUAUAUAUGUGUUUUAAAAUAUAUAUGUAAAAAAAAUACAUUAAUAUGUAUAUAGAUUACGAAGUACUAGAUAUAAAAGUAUGUGUAAUGUACAAAUAUUUGAUUAUAAUAACAUUAAUAAUACAGUAAUAAUAUUAUAUAAUAAUAUUAAUGAUAUUAAAACAAUUAAUUUGUUUAAAUAAAAUAACCUAAACAGCAAAAAUAGGAUUAAAUUGAAAAAAAAUUAAACUUUGAGCUCGAAAUUAAAAAUAAAAAUAACUAAAAGGAUUAAAUAAUAAGGCGCGCGAAAGAGAGAGGACCAAAGGGAAAUUUUCCCACGUUGGUUAAACGGUGCCGUUUUAGCGAGGAUUAAUUUGUAAUCAUGGAAAAAUUACGGGAAAAAUUUUAAAAAAACUUAAUUAAAAAAUCCUUAAAAAGCGGAAGGACUAAAAUAGACAAUAUCCCCUCAAACAAAACGCGCUGAUCCUCUGGUCUGGUCGGGUCGACGCGCGGAUCUGGGGGAUGAAACGACGUCGUUUUGUUAGGCUAUUUAAGCCAAGAAUUUUCCAAAAAAAAAACAUUUUUCCCAUUCUCUAAAAAAAAUCCUAAAACUCUCUCUCCCCUCUCUUUCUCCGUUCCUCUCUCCGGCCAGGGCUCGGUCGCCGGCGCCGCUGUAUGCGGCGGUCGAAGGGCCAAAAAAAUCUAUUUUUUUCAGGCGAUUUGAUAGCAGGUAAUGUUCUCUUUUUCUACUUUCUGUCAAUAUGUAUGGAUGUAUGCGUAAUAUAUAAACAAAUACCUAUGUUAGUGGAUGGUUUCGAAAAAAAGAAAAAUAAAUAAAAAAGAAAACUUGGCUUUCCUUUUCUGUUUGUGACUUUCUUUUUGCGUGAAUCUGUUGUUUUUUUGUAUUUUUAAGUAACACUUUGUAUAAAAAAACACCGGAAGAAACAGAUUAUAGCCAAGUUCGGCUUUUAUACAUCUUUAUUACUAGUGCUGUCGUUUCUCUUUAAAUGUUUGCAGGUACUUGAUGGCACGACAAUGGCGGUGGAGCAGAGGGCAGAGGUAAGUGCACCACUUGCUAUGACGUGACAGGUGCUGUGGCACUAGGGUUUCAAUCUCUAAAAAACUAGUUUACUCUUUGCUGGGUUUGGGCUUAGUCCUUUAGUUUGGGCCCCAGGUGUAAUUGGGUUUGAGUAAAAUUGGGCUGUACAAUAAUAUUAUAAUAUUAAAACAUAAAUGUUAAGUAUAUAUAUUAUAUUAUAUUAUAAUAAUAAAACAAAGAAAAAAGAAAUAGAAAGAAAGAAGCAGAGAAAGCCGAACGAAAUAGAAAAGAAAAGGGGAGAAAGGAGAAAGACGAAGGGACUUAGGGGUUUCAAAGUUUUAAGUCAACUGGUUAGUCAAUUUAGUCCUUUUUUAUUGUAAUUUUUAUAUUUUUGGAAUCCCAGUAUUAAAUACUACCCAACCCAUGUCAAAAUUUUAGAAAUUAUUAAGUUUUUAAGUGAUGUUUAUGUUGAAUAAUUUUAGUAUUAGGAAUUAAAUUGAUAGAUUUUUAAGCUAGAAAUGAAAAAUGAUUAAAUUGUAGAACAAAUUGUAAAUUUUGAGUAAUAGGGACUAAAUUGUAAAGAUUUUAAAAUUUAGGAAUUUAAGUGAAAUUAGAGAGUUAAAUCUAGUUUAAAGUGGAAAUUUAAUGAAAAUAUAGGAUUAAAUGUAAAGAAAUAAAGUUAGUCGCGGUUUAGGGACUAAACUGGAAUUUAGACAAAUAUUGAGUAAAAAUUGAAAUAUGCAAUAUGAAAUUGAAUUGUAUUGUAUUGAUGAAUUUUAAUUGUUUUAAUUCCGUAGCUAAUGUCGUACCGAAAUCCUCGAUUAAAAAGGGGAAAGAUAAAGUUGAUGUGAAAUAGCUCGGAAUUCCUGGUUUGUAUUUCUAUAAUCCGAAUCUAGUUAUUAAUUCUUGUAUUUUGAUUUAAUGCUUAUGGGAAGUGGUUGAGGUGAGUAUUUGGUAUUUUGAUAUUGAAUUGAAUUAAAGUUGAUGGAAAUUAAUUGAAUUGGUAUAUAUAUUAUGAUUGUAUUGAUUAUUUGAUUUGAAUUGAAUUUAUGUGAUUAUAUGAAAAAUUGAUAUUGGUUAUUGGUUGUUUUUGAAAUGUGAAAUUUAAACCCUAUUAACUGUAUCGGGUUGAGUCAAAUAUAGAUGGCAUGCCAUAGGAUUGGAAGAGUUCAGGGAUUUCUUCGACUUCGAGUCGAUGAGAAACUAGGUGUCAAUUUACUACUUCGGAUUAAUUCGAUGAGGCACUGUGUGUCAAUUUACUUCGGUUUAACCGAUGAGACACAAGGUGUGAAUUUAUUACUUUGAAUUAUCCGAUGAGGCACUGGGUGCCAAACUAGUGUGUUUUGGUUGGAUCCGUGUAUCCGUCCAAGUACGAGUCGUGUUAAUAGGGGUAAAUAUAUAAUAAAGUUUUAUAAUUGAUAUUGAAAUGGUAUGGUAUGAGAAAUGGAAGUGAAAUAGUGAAUUGAAAAUAGAAAGUGAAGUAUGUUGUAAAUAUAUGGAAUAUAUGAGUUAUAUACUCAUGAAAUGACUAUAAAACGUAUUGGAUCACACGACCAAGGCCAUUUUAAGCCGUGUGGGCCACACGGGUGUGUGGGCCCACACCAGCCGACAACAUGGGCAUGUGGGCCCAUUUUUCACUGUUUUAAUGUUAAGGUUGCACGGGUCACCCGAGACGGCUGUGAACCUUCUGUAGGGUUGGUAAGCUUACCCAAGUCCAUGCACUAUACCCAAGAUUGUAUUGUAGUCCCUCUAUUUGGAAAAAUAGAGUACUAGUCUCCGUUGUUACUAAAAUAGCAAAAUAGUCCCUCCUUUAAAAUUCUGUGGUUAAAUGGUUAUUUUGUAUAUAAAGCUUUGUCCUCGACCUUUACACUUUCUUUAAUUUGGGCACUAUUCAUUUAUUUGGAGUAAAUUGGUACUUAAAUUUUGUUGACGAGAUUGAACUAUUUUGUCUUAUAUAUUAAGUCAACACAUAAUUUGAGAUUCACCAAAAAUUAAAAAUUUAGGAAAAAAUUAUAAAUAAAAUUAUCAAUUUCCAAAAAAUAUAAAAAUAAAUAAAAAAUAAAAAGAACUUAAAAAUUAUAAAUAUAUAUAUGUAGAAGUUUUCUCAAUUUUUAAUAAAAAAUUCUAUGAGAUGCAAAGGAGUUUAACAAAUAAUAAUAAUUUUAAAAAGUCGUUAAAAAAAUUUCACGAUUCUUAAAAAAUGAUAUUAGAAACUUAAAAGAUUAGUUUAAUUAUCAUUUCAAAAAAAUUAGCUUCAUUGUGUAAGUAAUACUAAAUUAAAUUAUCGAUACUUUAUAUACCUUUUCAUAUUUUCCAAAUUUUACUACAGUUUAAUUGAAUAAUUUAUUAAAAAUAUAUUAAAAAUGGAAAAAUAUUAAUUCAAUUACCAGUUCAAUCAAUCUGGUCUUUUCUUCCAAAUCGAUACCUUAAUCGGUUCUCAAUCCAAUGAUUCGAUCGACCAGUCUAGUCUAAUUUUGGAAACAGUUACUUUUUUCAUAAUUUUUGACUUUUUCAUUAUUUAAAAUUCUUUGGCAUUUAAAAAAUAGAAUUUCUUUUUUUCUUAUUGAGUCUUAGCUCGAUUGGCAUGGAUAUUAUUGUCAAUGCAUGAGGUUGUGGGUUCAAGUGCACUAAAGCUUAUUCGCCUCUUAUUUAUGGGUUGUGGAGGGGUUAUUGUAACACCCCUAACACGAGUCCACAGCUGGAAUAGGGUUACGGAGCAUUACCGGAAUUUACAGAACAAAUAGACAAAUAUUUCAAAUAUUCCACAUCAUAUAAUAUACAUGUUAGAAACCAAUUGGAAUUAAACAUAUUGUCCCUUAUACGAGCCCUUGAGCCCAAAAUACACAUUAGAAGCAAAUCGGGACUAAAUCAAAAACUCAAAAAAAAUUUUAGAAACAUUUAAUAUUUUCAACACUGCAGGGCUCACACGGCCGUGUAACUCACUGACUUGUAUUCUUUUAAAAGAUACAGAGGACACAUGACCGUGUUACCUGGCCGUGCGUCACACACGGCUGAGACACACGCCCGUGUCUCUGCACAUGUGGACGAAAAUAAACUAUUUUACAAGCCACAUUUCUCACCCAAUUUGGUGUCAACCCACAAUCAACACUACUUAUAUCUAUAACACCCCUUAACCCAAAUUCAUCGCUAGAUUAGGGUUAUGAGGCAUUACCUAACAAAACACAACUCAGAACAGACAUUCAAUUGAAUUCAAGUACUAGGCAAUAUAAUAUUCUUUAUAAAAGUUUUCUAAAUCAAUUCAUAUAUAUUUAUAUAUUUCACAUAUACAAAUCAUGCUUCAUUAAUACAAAGUUCGAAUCGUAUGAAAUUCAAAUGCAUGACCUUUCGAAUGCCUAAAACAUUAUUGAACACAAAGAACAAAUCAUUGUAUACCAAAUUUGCAUGCUUUAUAAUCAAUUCAAAGUACAUAUACCGAACCAUUCAAGCAUUAUAAAGUUGCAUACAUUGCCAUUACAACUAAAUCAAAAUAACCAAUGUAUAUUCGAAUAUAUAAUCAUCUCAUUCCUAGCAUACAUAAGACAUCCAUUAAUUCAAUUUCAUUUAUUUAAAAAUUACCAAAAAUAUCAUAUACUUAGCCAUUUUAAUUCAUCACAAGAUUAUGAGCAUAAACUAUAAUAACUUAAAGCAUCUUGAACACAAAUAACAACAAAUAUUACACUUAUUUCACAUGCCCAAAUACCAUAGUUAGAAUUCAUACACUUAACCAAUAAAUUAACUACCUAUUCGGUUAUAUAGGAAACCUUAUUUACUUCAUAUUUAUAUAAUCAUGCCAUACACACAUCACAUUUUUUAACAAGCCAAUUAUGUUCAUACACUUAAUUCAUUAUUUACCAUUAAGCAGCCAAACCUUUAUAGUAAAUAUAUAUACAAAUACAUUAUAAGCUUAUAGAUACCUAUAACAUAAAUCCAAUACUUGUCCAUCUAACAUCAAAUUAUUCAAACCGAAACACCUAUUCAUCCUCACUCACAAACCAUACCAUAUAAUGCAUUUUCAAAUAAUUUAAUUACAAAGCCGAAUGACCUUAACACAUUCAUUACUCAUACCUAAUUUACUUAAGUUAAAUCAUAUCAAAUCACCAUAACAAAACAUACUAAGCAUAUCAUACAUAUAUAUAUAUAACACAUAACCAAAAUCACUUAAACUUAACAUUAUUUAUCUUACUAAAAUACAUCAAACAUACCUCAUCUACCUUAUUGCCAAAACACAUGAACAAAACAUCACCAUAUAUAUAUGCCACACCAUGUGAUUACUAUCCAUAUAAGAUUAAACCAUGACCAAAACAAACUUAAGCCAUAAUUAAACCGAAACCGAACACAAGCAAGGAAAUUAAGCCAUUUUCGCAUGGCUUUUAUACAAACACUUUCAAAUUAAACUAACUCCAAAGCUAGCCUAUACAUGCCAUAGUUUCAAAUAAAUUCAUCUUAUAAAAUACUGAAAAUAGUCGAUAGUGUGAUAGGCUUUGCUGACGAUUCCCGAGCUCGUAACUUGACUCCAAAAUCUAUAAAACAGAGGUAAACAAGAACAUACACACAGUAAGCUAUUUAUGCUUAGUAAGUUAUAAGCAAAAACAUUUAUACAUACAUUUGCAUAUUAACAUUAGGAUAAUAAGACCGAUUACACAUAUUUUUCCGAUACGAGUAUAUCAUUUACUACAAGGGUCACACUUUAAUCACACAUACAUAUACCAUAUGGCCGAAUAUAAUCGAUCAUUUACACAUAUAUAUUUUCACUUUUAUUAUCACAAAUACAUCAAUAGGUCGAAUCACUUAUAUGAUCAAAUAUGCUAACCCAUAAUUCAUAUUCACAAAACUUUAUAUCAUUUCAAAUAAUCAACUUACCUUGUUUUCAUUUAAACAAAUAACUAACACAUACCUGAACCUGUAAUUCGAUUUCACAUUUGGUAUUUACUUCAUAUUGCCCGUUGAAUCGUUCAAAGUUAAAAAUGAUACGCGGAUAGUUGGAAAGCUCAUACAAUGCCAACGUCCCAAACGUGGUCUUAUAUGUAAUUACAUAUCGAUGCCACUGUCCCAGACAGGGUCUUACACAUAAACACAAGUCGAUGCCAACGUCCCAGAUGUGGUCUUACACGAAAAACACAUAUCAGAGGUCCUAUGUCAUGACAUAUUUAUCCUAUCUAUUCCUGGGGUUCGUACGGGACUUUCGGACAUUUUAUCUCGAUCAAAACGAGCUCGAAACAUAGUUCCCCUAUCUCAAAUCACAUUCGGCCAAACACAUAUAUAAUCGAAUAAUUCAAUUCAUCACAUAACAUUUAUAUAUUAUCAAGUUUAACAACAUUUAAAUGUCUAUAGACUUACCUCGAAUAUUGAUGGACGGAAUAAUCGACUAUUCGUUUAUUUUUGUUUUUCCCUAAUCCAGUUCCAUUUUCUUUGGUUCUUGAUCUAAACAUAUUCAAAUUCAACCCUUUUAUUCAUCAAAUCAUUCAAUUUAAUCCAAAAACACAUAACUGGGAAAGUUACUAUUUUGCCCCUAACAUUUUACACUUUUUGUAAUUUAGUCCCUAUUGCAUAAAAUUCAAAAUACACAAAAUUUGCAUAUACCAUGCUAGGGCCGAAUAUUCAUAGGCUCCAUACAAGUCCAUAUAUUUAAUUUUUUUCACAUUUUAGUCCCUCAAAAUAUUAUUUUUACAAUUUAACUCUAAUUACUCAAAUUCACCAAAAAUCCCAAAACAAAACAUAUUAAUCUAACACAUAUAUUUCAUAAUUCAUCAACUAUCAUCAUAAAACUCAUAAACUCGUCAAUGGCACAUUUCAAAAUCUUCAUCAAAAUAAAAAAUUCAAGCAUGGGUCUUGAAGUAUUUGAAGCAACGAUUACAAAAGCAUAAAAAUUAUCAAAAACCGAACAAAAACUAACUUUAAAUCAAGCUUCAAAGAUGGCCGAAUAGCUAGGUUUUUCUUCUUUUCUUUUCUUUUCUUUAGUUUCGGCUAGUAGAUAAAGAAAUAAAAGAUGAUAAUGACUUUUAUUUGUUUUAUUAUAACAUUAUAAUAUAAUAUAUAUUAUAACCUUUAUAAAUAAUAAAAAACUAUAUAUUACAAACAUAAUGCCGUCCACUAUCUUUUCAAUGGUCAAAUUGCAACAUAAAACCCCCAUAUUAAAAGAACAACCACUAAUCAGCCCUUUUAGAAAUAACCACUAAAAUUUUAUUUUACGCGAUUUAAUCUUUUUAUUUAAUCAGACACUCAAACAGCAAAAUUAAAGCACAAAAUUUUCACACAAGUAAAUUCACACAUAAUAAACACAGAAAAAGAUUUUAAAAUAUUUUUCUAACUCGAAUUCGUGGUCUUGAAACCACCGUUCCGAUUAGGGUUAAAAUUGGGCUAUUACAAUAUCAACAAGCCGUAAUUAGGCAUCCAAAACAAGCCAAAAUAAGUGUAUUCAUGCAUUCAAUAUACUCAUAUGUAUAACUAACUUAUAUGCAUUUUUGUACCCAAAGUAUACCAAGCUAAUUUUCUUUAUUUCAAACCAAGUCACUUCCUUGCCAAAACAUACCAUUUGGUGCCAAAAUGUAUUUCAAAUACUAACAUAUUUAAAUAUAUAUAUACCUUAUAUAUUAAAGUGUCGAUUCAUGAUAAAUUCAUCACAUUCCAAAUCACAUGUAUAAAAUGCACAUUAGCUAACAUUUUACCUUUCACCAUACAACCAGAAACCAAACCACACAUCAACCAUAUAACACAAAUAUGCACAAAUCAAAAUGUGCCAAAACACAAGCCAAAUAAGUGGCUAAUCUCAACAAAAUACAUAUAGGCCAACAUUAAUAAGAUUACCUAUACAUGCCAUUAUAACCAAAAUCAAAACAUUCGAAAGUACCAAUAGAGAUGAUGGAUAGUGUAAUAUAUCUCCGAUAAGCUUCCAACCCGAUCGAGCUUCCGAUAAUCUAGAAAGUAAAGGAAAACAACUACGUAAAUAAUGAAUGCUUAGUAAGCUCGUAUAAACUUUAAUCAUAUCAAUUCAUUUCAAAUAUGAAAUUUAUACAUAUCAAGAAUAAUCCAAUAUUGAUACCGCAAUACUCGUGAAGUUAUAUUCAAUAACUCACAAGGUGAACAAAUCCACCGCAUCACUUAUACAUAUUAUUCCUAGUAUAUUAGGAUUUUAAGCAACUUUAACUCUUCCAAAUUUCUUUAUUUUCAUUUGAAUUUCUUUACUUUCCACACUUAUUCCAUAUGCAUAAUGUAAUACCCAAUUUUGCCCCGGGGCCCAUUCAGAAUAAGCAGAAAAAAACCAAAAAAAUAAUAAUAAAUAAAAUUCAAUCCAAAAAUAGUCCAUUUACAUUGGCCCAGAUCAAUUUACACAAAAAUAAUAAUAAUACAGACUCUAGCCCCAAAAUAUAACAAGACCUAAUACAAAUAGCCCAUUAAUCUAGCCCGACCUAAACCCGAUUCUUAGCCCAGCAAACCAACUCAGCCCAAAUGGCCCAACACCAAAAUACACAGUAGUAAACCGUAGCAGCAUUCAGCCCCAGUGCGCGCCGUAGUAGCCUCCACGCACGCGUUGAGCUUCCAUCCCACGCACGCCCCAACUGGCCUCCAUACGUGCCACGUCCCCUGACACCGUACGCCGUACCUGCGAACGCAAACAAAACACAGUAGAGAACAAACCAAUGAGAAUUUUUUUGAUUUUUGCUAUUUAUUUUAUUCGAUUUUUUUCGUUUCUUUGUCGAAUGAGGAUAUAAGAACCGAAAACCCUUUGUAUUUCUCCCUUACGCAUUCAGAAUACAAAAAAGAAUCAGAAAUACCGAAAGGUGAUUUUUCUGGGUUUCUAUUCUUUUUCAUUUUACCAGUUAUUCGUUUCCUUUCUUUUCUUUCUUUUAUUUAUUUUUGUGUUCAUUAAUCGGGAGAGAAGAGAAGAGAUAACAGUAAAAGAAAGAAGGAUGUACCUGGUGACCACAUCCUCUCUCUCCAUCGUCAUCGGAGUUGAGUGGGGGUUGGAGGGUCUGAGAAGAGGAUUCGUCGAGCGGCGCAAAGUUUUUAGUUUAGGUUUUGUUAUUGAAAGUGAUAGGGUUUUUUAGGUUUAUUUUAGUCUUAAGCAUAGAAUUUUAAACAUCACCGUUUGUUGCUAAUGCAAUGGCUUCAAAACGGUGUCGUUUUGAUGACUCGAUCCAAACGGUGACCCGAUCCGGGAAGGAUCUGCGCAUUAUGGAUCGUUUGGUUUAUUUAUUUAAUAGGUCCUUAUGCGUUUACUGGAAUGGCGAUUUAAUUUCUUUAAUCAUUUGUAAUUAUACCGUGUAUUUAACUUAGUUUUCAUUUAGGUCCAAACUUGAACGCUGUCGUUUUUGUGAUGGAUUGUGAUGCUUGUGUUUAGUCGCUGGUUUGGUCCUUCAGUUUUGAAAUAAAUUUUAAUUUAGUACAAAUUUAGUUUUCUUUCUUAAAAUUCAGCAAUAUUUUAAUUGUAAUUAAUCCUACUUGCAUAUAUUAUAAAGUCUAACAUUAUUUGUAAUAUUUGAUUUUGAUAAUGUUUUAAAUCUACUAUUAUUAUAAUUUAAAAUAUAAUAAACCAUCAUUUUAGUUUGUAUUUCAUAUUUUUAAGUUCAUUAUAUAAUAAAAUUUUGAAUUUACUAUAUAUUUAUUUAAUUUUGUUUUUUUUCUUUUAGGUUCAAAUUUUAUUUAAGCUCCAAUUUUAAACUUUUUAAUAUUUUUCUUAUAAUUGUUGUUAUCACUUUUCAAAGUUGUUUUAUUAUAUUUAAUUUUAUCUUCAAAAAAUGUUUUUAAAAUAAAUUAAUUUCUAUUUUAAUUCAUUUUUAACAUUACUUUGAUAUUUAGUAUGAUAUUGUUUUUAAAAAAAAACAUAAUACAUAAUUUUUUUAAAUUAUUAUCAAUAUGUUUUAAAUUUAUCAAUAUUAUUUUAAAAAUAUAUAAUUUAUAUGAAAUUAUUUUUAGUAUAUAUAUGUAUAUAGAGUAUAUCAUUAAUUUCGAAUUAACCUUUUUUUAUGAUUUUUAUACAUAAAUGUUUCAUUUCUUAAACCUUAUUUAUUCGUUUUAUGGGUUGUUAAAUUGUUAAUAUGGACGUUUGUAUGAUAUGAUUAAGGUCAAUGUUUGUAUUUGCCUAUUAUUUGUUUAAUUGCUUGUAAUUUAAGUUUAAAUUGUUAUUUAUCUUUUACAUUACAUGUAUCGUUAUUCAAUCAUGUUCCAUUUGUAAGAGUUGAAUUUUAUUAAAGCAUUAUAAUCAUUUUAUUUCAUGAUUCUUAAAAAAGGCUUGGUAUUCAUAGGUUCUCGAGAGAAUUGUGCCCUAACUUACUAGGCUUCAAUUCUUCUCGAUGAAUUUAGAUAAUCAAGUGUUCAUUUUAUUAAAACCAUAUAAUUAUUAAAACAAAAUUCUUAAGAUUUAAAAUGUUGGAUCCUAUCUUACUAGAUACGACAUUUUGUUAUUUCGAUUUUAAAAUAAAGGCAAUAUUUGAUGUUUAAGAAUUUCGAGAAAUUGAACCCUAACUUACUGGAUUCUGAUUUCUCGAUUGACUUAAAUAAUCAAAUAUCCUUCUUAAAACAUGUUUUAAAAAAUUUUAAAAGGAACGAAUCUAACUUUGAAGAUUGAACUGUUGCACUCUAACUCACUGAGUGUGGCGGUCUAUUUCUUUGAAAUGGGUCCGUCUAUUUAACCAAUUCAAUUAUUUAAGCUUUCAUUUCAUGGGAUUGUAUUUAAAAAUCUUUUCAAGUUUCGACACUAAGACAUUAAAUAAUCAAUUCGGUACCAAUUUUGGGCGUUUCGAGGGUGCUAACCCUUCCUCGUGUGUAAUCGACUUCAGAACCUGUUUUCUCAAAUCUCGUAGACCAAAAUCGUUUUAAGGUGAGCCGAUCACACCCCAAUAAAGGAUUGGUGGCGACUCCAAUUUUUAUUUUUAAUAAGUCGAUAACUAAAUUUUUUGUUUUCGAAAAAUGGUUUCGACACAUAACAUACCAGUCAUAAACAUAUCAUUCAACCAUAGCCACAAGCUAAUGCAUCUAAACAUAGCCUUUUUCGAAUUAAUCACCUGAUAAGUCAUUUCAUAAGAAAUUGUAUAACUUAAACCUUACCACUCAUUCAUGAGCACAAGUAUAUUUUCAUUUGAGCACUUACCCUUUCAACGCAUCAUAUAAUAAACAUAUUACUAUUUAACCAGUAACUUGGAACUUGUCUAAGCGUCAACAACAACCCUUGUUAGCAUACUUGAACUUAUUUCAUAUAAAUUCAACAUUGAUAAACUUAUUUUAUCAACGUAUCACACUUGAGUAUAUUACUCAUCACAACAUACAUAAUUUCCAUGUAUCAACAUAUCAAGAUAUUGAUAUCUAUACAUAUCAUGACACAUAUCAUUCUCUUACUAUUUCUUCAUAUACAUAUAUCAUCCAAAAACAACUCCUAUUAUUUUACCAUUCGAAGAACAACUUACGGAUAUGAGUACAUCGCUUUCAAAAGCCCGAAGGCUAAAUAGAAGCUCAUGAAAGCUAAACAGAAAGUAAACACGAAAGUUCGCAACAAAUGUUGAACCUUGGUUUACUUGGGUAAUUUACCGUCAAUUCACCAUUUACAUUAGAAGUGCCAUAACCCAGUUAUGGUCUUAUCAUCAGAAUGCCAUAGCCAGCUAUGUUCUUACAUAUAAACACUGCCAUGGUCCAACCAUGGUCUUACGUUCAUAGUGCCAUAACCCAGUUAUGGUCUUACCAUCAGAAUGCCAUAGCCCAGCUAUGGUCUAACAUAUAAAUAUUGCCAUGGUCCAACCAUUGUCUUACGUUCAUAGUGCCAUAACCCGGUUAUGGUCUUAUCCGUCAAUUCAUCCUUUGCCACAGAACGAUUGUACUCAAUCUCACGUUCAAUCCAAACUGAGUAUUAAAUUCGAUAAUAUAUUUCCAAUAAUAAUUCAAUUCCAACAAUAGAACACACAUAUAUAUAGAAUAUCCAUCACCAAAUAACAUUCACUUUAAUCAAAAUUAUACAGAAUAUAGUUCAUACGAACUUACCAGGCUAAAUUGCAGAAAUACCAAGAUAUAGGGGUAUUUUGGUAAUUUUCUAUUUCCCUCGAUUUUCCACCCGAUCUUGAUCUAAAUUAAUAUUUCAUUAAAUUUAUUAAUUUAAAUAAUAAAACAAUUCAUUUCAUGCAAUUUGGUAUUUUUGACAUUAUUACAAAAUUGCCUCUAAAAUUUUACUUUUAUUCAAUUUAGUCCCUGAGCCCAAAUCAUGCAAAUUAACCAUUUUUAAUGCAAAUCCAUGCCAACAUAAUAUUCAUGGCAUUAAAUACAGCCCAAUUUCGCAAUAAUUUCACAACAAGACCUUGUAUUUUUACUAUUUCAACCAUUUAGUCCCUAAUCGGGAAAUUCAUCAAAAAGCACUUAAUAAAAUACUUUUAAUUAACAACUAAUAUCUCAAAUUCAUAAUUUAACAUCAAGAAUCAUAUAUAUUCAUCAAUGGCAACAUCCAAAAUCUUUAACAAAAUAAAAAACAAAGGUAAGAUUUAAUUGGACUUAAUUGUAACAAUCUCAAAAACGUAAAAACUAUUAAAAAUGGAGCUAAAUUUAACUUACCUGCAGCAAAAAUAUGAAAACCAACUUGAGCUCUCCCCCUUCUCUAUUUUUAAACCGAAAAUUGGAGAAGAAAAGCCUAGAAUGCUUUUAAAUUUCAAUUUGCCUUAUUUAAUUUCAAUAUAAUUACAAUUUUACCAUUGUUUCUUUUUAUUUUAUUAUUAUUUUUAUUCAUAUGCCGCCUCAUUCAUUAAUUUAGGCAUAUUUAUCACUUAAGUCCCUCCUUAUUUAUUAAUCAAGCCAUUUAGUCACAUUAUUAUAAUUAGCAAGUUUUACACCUUUUUCAAUUUAGUCUUUUUUAAUUAAUUAACUGUUAAAACGUUAAAAUCUUUCAACGAAACUUAAAUACUACCUUAAUGUCACUCCGUAAAUAUUUAUAAAAAUAUUUAUGACUUAGUUUAUAGAAACGAGGUCCCGUUACCUUAUUUUCUAAAACCACUUGAACUAGGGUUUUAUCACUCGAAUCUAAUAAUUCAUUGUAAGACAUAAAUUACUAAUUCAAAAAAAAUUAAACCAUAUUUGACUCGUAAAUAUUAAAUAACAAAAUUUACGAGCUUACUCGCCAUAUUUGGUGGCGUUGAACUACUGUUUCCAAUAUCACUAAAAAUCGGGCUGUUACAGUUAUGGGUAGUUCUAGGUAUUGUGUUAAAAAGAGCAGAUAUGAUCAAAACCUAUAAUAAGAUGAUUAAAAAGAAUUGAUUUUUUAUUGAAAUUAAAAAAAAAAGUAGUUUAUAUUUUUUGUUGUUUUACAUUUUCUACUUUUUAUUGCCAUGAGAGUUGCAACUUUAGUGUCUCAUGCAAUUUCAAAGUAGGUGUUAAAUUGUAAUGGAAUUUGACUCAAAAUAAUAAUAAAAAGUUGUAUAUAAAGUCAAAUUGAAUAAAGAUAUUAAAGGUUAGAGGCUAAUUUAUUAUAAUGCCUUAAAUAUAUAUAUAUAUAUAUAAACCCAAAUAAGUACUUAACGAAAUCUAUGGCAUUUUACUGAUAAUUUGCUUGGUUUAUGAAAAAAUGUGAAUUUUUUUAAUUAAUAAAUAUAUUGGAUGUAAUGGUAAGUGGGCAAUCAUGGAGAGGAAGCAUACAUAGAUGGUGGAGAAAGUAGAAAAAGCCUUGGAAUAUUAAAGGAUUGGUUGGGACCAAAAUAUUAAUUAAUUUGGGUUUAAGACUAAUUUUUGGUUGCUCACAUUAUUCAAUAGGUGUUACGCAAUAAAUUAUUCCACAUAUCACAAAAAUUAAAAGUAAUUUAUAAAUCGAACAAAAAUAGAACUCCGUUCCGUUCCCUUCCAUCUUGCCACCAUUAGCUUCGUUCCCACCAUCUUCACCGCCACCUUUGUUCUUCUUCUUCCCUCCGUCGCCGCCCUCCUUGCCAUCCUUCUCUUUCUUAGGAGCUACAAUCUCAACAUGCUUCUUCAGCUUGUCCUUCAAAGCCUUAGCCAAGGCCUUAAUAUCCAUAGUCCCUUUAACUGUGACCAUCUCCUUCUGCCUGUCUACUUUGAACUCUCGGACACCUGCGAUGCCGUUAAAAACAAUAUGUAUCAAAAGUCAGAAUCGAACGCAAGAAUUUCAACGCCGUAAGAGCAACAGAAAAUUGUAAAGGUCAUCACCU